GGGGGCCCUACAGAAGCAGGAGGGUGUGGGGUUCUGCACGAACCCCAGAUGAGAGCAGCCAGGGACCAGGACAAAGCAGGCCCUCGGCGGCAGCUCUCACACGCUUGGGAGGCAAAGGAGGGUGGCAGUAACAGGUCAAAGUCCCACUGCCCAGUGUCAUCACAUUCAAAUCCCACAGUGACCUGAAUAAGGAAAUAAUACUGUAUGUGACUCAUGCCAGUACAGAGCAGCCCAAGCCCUAACACAGCUAUGUUGCCAUGAACUGUGUGGUCAUACCUACAUCAUAAAGUAAAGCAGCCAUAUCAGAUGUGAUCGUAUUUGUACUU